rnacentral:lncRNA from 1 species
UUGGAAAGUUGCAUUGCACAGCUUAACCGAGGGCUUUUGAGUAAGAUCACAGCUUGACUGUUACCAAGUGUAAGAGAAGCAGCAGACAGUUUGCAGGAGACUCAAAUCCCUUCUCUGAGGCCAGAGCAGUAUCUCAUGUCCAGAUGCUCUGUUUACUGAGUUGCAACUUUGGGGAUGAUGGUCUUAGGGAGUCAGAAAAUGGGAAAGAUCGCUUCUAUUUUGUUUUCUCCUCACAGCCUGUGCCCCAACUUUUACUAGGGUUUAUUUGGAAAGGAAUCUGUCUUCAGAGCUAUGCUUUGCCUUGAGGAGACCAGAUUGCUCUGAAGGGAGUUGAAUCCUGACAUGAAGACAGGAGUUUACAAUCUGGGGCCAGUGGAGAGAGAUGCUGGGACUGCCUUACUUGGCAGUGGGGGUGGGGGCAGGGUAGGUAGGGGAUGGGGGCAGAUAUGACAACACUGUAGGGUCAGAGAGACCAUGUUACCUCAGGAAUAUGCUGGAAAACAUAAAAUAUUCUGAACUUUAUGAAAAUUCAUUGAAAGAAGGAAGGAUGAGGGAGUGUUAUAAGCCAUAUAU